AAGCAGCGAAUUUGCCUCCAAUGUUCUGAGCGCCGAGGUGUAACUUGGCCUGGCGGAAGAGGAUGCCCAGGGCCCAGAGUGCCAGUAAGGUCAACACACCAAGAGCUACAUUCAUCCACAUGGCUGUGCUUUCUUCAGAGAUCUAGGUAAAUGGUGUCCUCCACGUACAUGAUGACAGAGCCCACAGUGAACAGGGUCAGGAUCACUAUGACAGCCAGCUCCACAGAGUUCAGCUCUGGGGUGGAAUAAUAAUAGCAGCAGGCACUGUGUUCUCCAACUGUUGUGGACUGGAUUCUCUAAUUGUUUGUAAGAUUCAGAUCUAGAAGCGACGUCAGAGAUCCUCUA